rfam:Hordeum vulgare subsp. vulgare, WGS project CAJW01000000 data, contig: morex_contig_135415
UUAGUACUCCCUUUGUCCCAAAAUUCUUGUCUUAAUUUUUUUAGACAUGGAUGCAUGUAGAUACUAAAGCGUGACUAGAUACAUUCAUAUCUAAACAAAUCCAAGACAAUAAUUUUGGGACGGAGAGAGUACUUU